rnacentral:tRNA from 1 species
AAAAAUUUAAGUUAAAAAAACUAUAGACCUUCAAAGUCUAAAAUAGAACAUAUCUAAUUUUUA